rnacentral:tRNA from 1 species
GACAUCAUAGCUCAGUUGGUCAGAGGCCCUGGUGCUGAUAACACCAAGGUUGCAGGUUCGAUCCCCGUAAGGGACA